AGAACGAACGCUGGCAGCGUGGAUUAGGCAUGCAAGUCGAACGACCGCUUUUUUUGUAGCAAUACUUAGAAAGUGAGAGUGGCGGAAGGGUGAGUAACGCGUGGGUAAUUUACCUCUAAGACUGGGAUAACCCAGGGAAACCUGGACUAAUACCGGAUGUGGUACCUUGUCGCAUGACAGGGAAACUGAAGAUGGGGACCUUUUAGGCCUGUCACUUGGAGAGAAACCCGCGUCCCAUCAGCUAGUUGGUAGGGUAACGGCCUACCAAGGCUUACGGGUAGCCGACCUGAGAGGGUGAUCGGCCACACUGGGACUGAGACACUGCCCAGACUCCUACGGGAGGCUGCAGUCGAGGAUCUUUUGCAAUGGACGAAAGUCUGACAAAGCGACGCUGCGUGGAGGAUGAAGGCCUUCGGGUUGUAAACUCCUGUCAUCCGGGAAAAAUGGCCUGUAUUAAUAGUAUCGGGAUUUGAUGGUACCGGAAGAGGAAGCCACGGCUAACUCUGUGCCAGCAGCCGCGGUAAUACAGAGGUGGCGAGCGUUGUUCGGAUUUACUGGGCGUAAAGGGUGCGUAGGCGGUUAUGCGUGUUGGAUGUGAAAUCCCACUGCUCAACAGUGGAACUGCAUUCAAAACUGCAUAGCUUGAGUACAGGAGAGGAGAGCGGAAUUCUUGGAGUAGCGGUGAAAUGCGUUGAUAUCAAGAAGAACACCGGUGGCGAAGGCGGCUCUCUGGAAUGUUACUGACGCUGAGGCACGAAAGUUGGGGUAGCAAACAGGAUUAGAUACCCUGGUAGUCCCAACCGUAAACGGUGUACACUUGAUGUAGGAAAAGGUUGUCCUUUCCUGUGUCGGAGCUAACGCGUUAAGUGUACCGCCUGGGGAGUACGAUCGCAAGAUUAAAACUCAAAGAAAUUGACGGGGGCCCGCACUAGCGGAGGAGCAUGUGGCUUAAUUCGAUGCAACGCGAAGAACCUUACCAGGGCUUGACAUGUAACUGGAUGCCCUGCGAAAGCGGGGAGGCCUUCGAGGCUGUUACACAGGUGCUGCAUGGCUGUCGUCAGUUCGUGCCGUGAGGUGUUUGGUUAAGUCCAGCAACGAACGCAACCCUUGUGUUUAGUUGCCACCCCCGAUUUAUCGGGGAGCACUCUAAACAGACUGCUCGUUUACACGAGAGGAAGGUGGGGACGACGUCAAGUCAGUAUGGCCCUUACGCCCUGGGCUGCACACGUGCUACAAUGGCCGGUACAGAAGGAUGCAAUGCCGUGAGGUG
rnacentral:rRNA from 1 species